GGUUGUAUGGUGUAGAGGUUAGCACUCCAGAUUCUGAUACUACAGAAAUCUUCUGGCGACCCCGGUUCGAGUCCGGGUACGACCU